rnacentral:rRNA from 1 species
AUGUUGUUCGAAUGCAAAUUGGCAAUGGAUGUGUGGAAGAUGCUCGGUCUUGAGCUUGUUCUCAAACAUGCACUGAAAGUUGAUAAGGUGGGUGAGCUUGUGUUGGCACAUCUUUUGUGCCUUCCAGAACAACAAAUCCAAGUGUUCGGCAUGCCGAAGUUCAGAGAAACGAUGGCAACAACGGCUUGGUAUUUGUGGUAUGAAAGGCAAAAAUUGACACAUGACGAAGAAACUCAAAGCGCAUGUCAAAUCAAUAUGUCAGUGAGAGGCUUAGUAGCAAAUUAUACCAUUUCUUAUAGCCCAAAGGCUCACGUCCGUUCAGAUGCUUGGUUGAAACCAAAGUAUGGUUACGUGAAAUUAAACGUUGACGCGGGAUUUGAUAGUGACACACUCGCAGCAACAUUUGGAGCAGUUAUCCGGGACCAUAGGGCGAAAUUUUUAGUGGCUACUAAUGAAAAGAUGGACCUUUGCUUCGAGUCGUUCACAGCAGAAGCAAUUGCAGUGAGGUUUGGUUUGAAUCUUGAUAAUACCGUCGGAUGCAGUAAGAUUGAAGUGAAUUCGGAUAGUGUGGAGGUGGUGAAUACGUUGAGCCAAGCUACUCUUCUUCAGUCGCUUCAUCCAUUAUAG